AAGAAGACACUUUCCUGGAUCAUUUCUCCAGUUGGUCACUGGGGCAGGUUCUCUGGACGUGUGCAGCUCCCAAAACCACCGGGAGGGGGCGCGCGCCCCCUCCUGAGCGAGAGGCCGGCUUAGCGUUGCGUGGCUGCACCUGCUCUUCGCCCCUUGAUGGCUGUCUCUUCCUUGCGCCGUGGGAGGGAGAGGACGUCAUCUGAGUGGU
rfam:Otolemur garnettii contig087384, whole genome shotgun sequence.